rnacentral:tRNA from 1 species
GGCUCCGUGGUCUAAUCAGGUUCAGGACGCAGGUCUCGCCUGCCGGCUCGGUCGUUGCUUAACGCGUGCCACUGGCACGCAGCAACCUUUCAAGGCUGAAAUGUCGGGUUCAAAUCCCGUCGGAGCUA